rnacentral:tRNA from 1 species
GGAUAGUUAGCUCAGCUGGUUAGAAGGUGGAGCUAAUAACACCAAGGUCAUGGGUUCAAGUCCCACACUGGCCA